UACGAAGGGGGCUAGCGUUGCUCGGAAUCACUGGGCGUAAAGGGUGCGUAGGCGGAUACUUAAGUUAGAGGUGAAAGCCCAGGGCUCAACCCUGGAACAGCCUUUAAUACUGGGUAUCUUGAGUUCGGGAGAGGUGAGUGGAACUCCGAGUGUAGAGGUGAAAUUCGUAGAUAUUCGGAAGAACACCAGUGGCGAAGGCGACUCACUGGCCCGAUACUGACGCUGAGGCGCGAAAGCGUGGGGAGCAAACAGG
rnacentral:rRNA from 1 species